UCCCUGGUGGCUCAGACGGUAAAGCAUCUGUCUACAGUGCAGCAGACCUGGGUUCAAUCCCUGGGUUGGGAA
rnacentral:tRNA from 1 species